GAUAUCACCCACUAGAUCAGGUUGCCAGGUCCCACUCCAACCUGACCUUGAACUCUUCCAGGGAUGGGGCAGCCACAACCUUUCUGAGCAACCUCUUUCAGUGCUUCACCACUCUCACAGUAAAGAGUUUCCUCUUAACACCUAAUCUAAAUCUCCCCUUUUUCAGUUUAAAACUACUUCCCCUUCUCCUCUCACCUUCUGGCCAUGUAAAAAGUCACUGACCAACUUUUAUAUAACCCCCUUUUAGGUACUGGAAGGUUCUAGAAUGUAUCCCUGGAGCCUUCUCUUCUCCAGGCUAAGUAACACCAACCCUCUCACCUGUCUUCACAGGACAUGAGUCACCUUCCCCCAGCAAGGCCCAGUGUUCCACAGUCCAUGUUUUAAAGCCUCCCUCUUUGUUCUUUUCACCCAGAGUAGGACACUUUUCUAACUUAUCAUCUAAAUCCCACUUGGCAUCUUGACAUUUGAAGUCACAAGAGCAGCAGCUGAAGGUUGACACAGAUUAACCCAGGUUGUCUGAACAGAGUUCAAGACAAGCAAAGGACAUGAAACACCAGAUCAGCUGAGCUGGAACAGGGUCUAUUCUCUGGGUGGACAGUUCUGGCAUUACAUUCUGACAACGAGAUCUUCACAAGAGCCAAAAGAGUGAGAAGGACCUUUGCCUCUGGCCAUUGGUUCAUGAAGAUUUUCAGUAGUGUCCAAGACAUGAAUGUCCCGACCUGGGUACCUUGAAGAUGUUCAAGACACACCCUUAACCCUAAUAAUGGUGUUCAGGAAGAAACCUCAGAGAGGAUCUGUACUCUCUGCACUAAUCUUCAUGACUGCAGCAGACCACAGCAUGUCUUCUUUUGGAAAUGGGUCUGAAUUCCCACCCCUGCCACAAGCCACAUCUUGCUCACGGGCAUCUCAUUUGCCACCAAGGCCUGCAGAUAUUUUCCAUGCUACAAAUAAAACUACAGCUCCAUUCUACAACUCCAA